AUUGAACGCUGGCGGCAGGCCUAACACAUGCAAGUCGAGCGAGCGGCGGACGGGUGAGUAAUGUCUGGGAACCUGCCUGAUGGAGGGGGAUAACUACUGGAAACGGUAGCUAAUACCGCAUACCCUCAGAUGUGCCCAGAUGGGAUUAGCUAGUAGGUGGGGUAACGGCUCACCUAGGCGACGAUCCCUAGCUGGUCUGAGAGGAUGACCAGCCACACUGGAACGGAGACACGGUCCAGACUCCUACGGGAGGCAGCAGUGGGGAAUAUUGCAAAAUGGGCGAAAUCCUGAUGCAGCCAUGCCGCGUGUAUGAAGAAGGCCUUCGGGUUGUAAAGUACUUUCAGCGUGGAGGCGUUACCCGCAGAAGAAGCACCGGCUAACUCCGUGCCAGCAGCCGCGGUAAUUC
rnacentral:rRNA from 1 species